CGGACGGGUGAGUAACGCGUGGGAAUCUGCCUACUAGCGGGGGAUAGCCCGGAGAAAUCCGGAUUAAUACCGCAUAAGCCCUACGGGGGAAAGCUGGGGAUCUUCGGACCUGGCACUAGUAGAUGAGCCCGCGUUAGAUUAGCUUGUUGGUGGGGUAAUGGCCUACCAAGGCAACGAUCUAUAGCUGGUCUGAGAGGACGAUCAGCCACACUGGGACUGAGACACGGCCCAG
rnacentral:rRNA from 1 species